CGUCACCUUCAAUUGCUACUUCAUGGUUGUUAUACCAUUGCGUCUGAUGUACUGCUCAAUAUAUGGGAAGGAUAGUCAAUCCGCGGCAUUCGCUAAGCAUGCUGUUGGGGUCUUUGCUGGACUUGUGGACCACAGCACGCAACACUCUGACCACGCUGGAACUGAGCAGAGCUGCGAUGGCUGAAAGAAGUUGAUUUCAUUAUCAGGCAUCAUUAUCAUGACAUUGUGAGUGUGACAGUGCCCUCUCCUGGUACAUACUGUAUGUACACAUGAUGUGUAUUUGUGUCAAAGUACCUUCGUUGCGGCUCAGCUCGAUGUCUGCGAACAGUCCGAUCUUGAUAAUCUGCCAGAGGAGUCCAAGCACCAGAUGAGGUUUCCCCUCCUUGAGAUCUUGAGCGCCAAUGUUGACAACUUGACAGCCGAUGGCUGAGGCGGAGUUCAGAGCCAAGUUCAGAUUCUCCUGUUGAGGACAAAAGGAAGACAUCCAGUCCAAGACUGUUCACUUCCAAAGACAUUUCACCCCCAAAACGGGCAUCAGUGUUGAAAUUUGUUUUAUGAAAAACAAAGAAAGCAACAAAUAAAGUUAUUUUUUGGAAAAUUAGAUUACUGACAAAAGUUGUAAUGUUACAAGAAUAAAGUCUAAAUAUGGCAAUAAUGUCAUAAUUACAAGAAUAACAUUUACAAGACCAAAGUAUGAAAUAGUUGGAAGAAAGAAAAGUGAGUUCAAAUAUUAAUUACAGUCUUUCCCCGCUACAUGGACUCUAAUGUGGUUUUUCAAAAAUGUAUUCAUAAGUGGUCUCUGUUUCAUGGUUGACUAUUAUUAGUGAAAAAUAUUGAAAGCGAAGUUAUAUAUAGUACUCUAAAUUGUCCAUAGGUAUGAAUAUCAAUGUCAAUGGUUAUUAGUCUGUGAACAAAAACUCUCUCCCAUUCCAUGUGGAAGUGGUACGCUUUUGGCCACUUAUUUUGUCCUUCUGAGAUGGGAGUUUUUUGUUGCCAUAUACUGUAUGUAACUCCUUAGCAUAAGUUGCCCCUGGCAUACUUUCAUUUUUCAGUUUGUGGCACUCACUGGACAGCGCUGGUCUAGGGCCUAACUAGUGACUCGAUUAAUCAAAACAAGCAUAGAAAAUAGAAAAUGCAUGCGGGUCAUUUUUGACCCACUUAUGGAAGGUUGGAGAAGUAACCCAAAAACUAAAAUUUCUUAAAAUGUAUAAAAGGUACGUUAAAAAUGUGAAUGGCAAGAUAUUAAAAACAUGUUUUUUUUAAAGGAAUACCUGGAAUAUGAAAUGAUGAAAAAUUUUCAUUACGAAGAUAUUUCAAGAAAACAACCUGACCAGGUCAUUUUUGACCCACAGAUAUGGAUGCUGUAUGUUAUCAUGUACCCAGAAAAAAUUAUUACGUUUGAUUAAUGUUCAUGUUAAAGGUUAAAUAACUGUUAAUAGUUAUCCUCCCUAUCC